AGUGGGGACUAAUGUCACAUUCAACAUGUAGUGGGGACUUGUGUCACAUUCAACACAUGUAGCGGGGGGUAAUGCCACAUUCAACACACAUUGGGGGACUUGUGUCACAUUCAACACACGUAGUGGGGACUAAUGUCACAUUCAACAUGUAUGGGGACUUGUGUCACAUUCAACACAUGUAUUUGAGACUUGUGUCACAUUCAACACAAGUAGUGGGGACUAAUGUCACAUUCAACACAUGUAGUGGGGACGAAUGUCACAUUCAACACAUGUAGUGGGGACUAAUGUCACAUUCAACACACUUAGUGGGCCUCAUGUCAAAGUGAGCUCAAGAACUGUGUACUGAGGUCACGUUCAUCAAAUGUAUGGGGGAGUAAGGUCACAUUCAACAGACACACUAGGUACUGAAAUAACAUUCAACACACACACUAGGUACUAAUGGCACAUUCAACACACACUAGGUACUGAAAAAAACAUUCAACACACACACUAGGUACUGACAGCACAUUCAACACACACUAGGUACUGAAAUAACAUUCAACAUACACACUAGGUACUGACGGCAUAUUCAACACACACUACAUACUGACAGCACAUUCAACACACACACUAGGUACUGACGGCACAUUCAACACACACUAGGUACUGAAAUAACAUUCAACAUACACACUAGGUACUGAAAUAACAUUCAACA